GCAGUCGCCGCGGGAAUACGUAGGUCCCGAGCGUUGUCCGGAUUUAUUGGGCGUAAAGGGAGCGCAGGCGGUUUAGUAAGUCUGAAGUUAAAGGCAUUGGCUCAACCAAUGUAUGCUUUGGAAACUGUUAGACUUGAGUGCAGAAGGGGAGAGUGGAAUUCCAUGUGUAGCGGUGAAAUGCGUAGAUAUAUGGAGGAACACCGGUGGCGAAAGCGGCUCUCUGGUCUGUCACUGACGCUGAGGCUCGAAAGCGUGGGUAGCGAACAGGAUUAGAUACCCCUGUAGUCCCUGUCUCUUAUACA
rnacentral:rRNA from 1 species